rnacentral:lncRNA from 1 species
UUCUUUACAAUGCAAAUUUGACUCACCGUGAUCCCGGUUUACACCUCGCUUUCUCUCGGAACCCGACUGGUGAGCGGUCUGGUGUUGAUGAUCACAAGAAACAACACCAUACAAGAUACUAGAGAAAACACAGAGGAUGGAGAUGAAACAAAAUAUGAUAUAUUAUAUAUUGUUAUAUUUUAUGAGAAUAAAAUGAAUUUUAUAUGCUGAUUUUAUGUAACGAAGAGAAAGAUGAGGAUUCAAGUUUUAUUAUUGUGUGGUUCAGUGGUUGGCUUUUGCCAUUUCUUUACGUACCUUGAAAUAAUAUAUGAGUUUGGAUAUUCUAUAUUAGAUUUCUCUUCUACGUGUUUUUUCUAAAAAAAAAUGAUACAAGGAAUAUUAGAUCAUAGUCUUUCAACGAAUAAAUGACGUAUAUUUUAAAUGGUUAAACUUCGUUUUGCUUGUAACGGGCUGGUAUAGUAUAAUAAAA